rnacentral:tRNA from 4 species
GGCGACAUAGCCAAGUGGUAAGGCAAGGGACUGCAAAUCCUUUAUCCCCAGUUCAAAUCUGGGUGUCGC